rnacentral:rRNA from 1 species
GAUGAACGCUGGCGGCGUGCCUAAUACAUGCAAGUCGAGCGAACAGACGAGGAGCUUGCUCCUUUGACGUUAGCGGCGGACGGGUGAGUAACACGUAGGUAACCUACCUAUAAGACUGGGAUAACUUCGGGAAACCGGAGCUAAUACCGGAUAAUAUUUCGAACCGCAUGGUUCGAUAGUGAAAGAUGGCUUUGCUAUCACUUAUAGCUGGACCUGCGCCGUAUUAGCUAGUUGGUAAGGUAACGGCUUACCAAGGCAACGAUACGUAGCCGACCUGAGAGGGGGAUCGGGCACACUGGAACUGAAACACGGUCCAGACUCCUACGGGAGGCAGCAGUAGGGAAUCUUCCGCAAUGGGCGAAAGCCUGACGGAGCAACGCCGCGUGAGUGAUGAAGGUCUUCGGAUCGUAAAACUCUGUUAUUAGGGAAGAACAAACGUGUAAGUAACUGUGCACGUCUUGACGGUACCUAAUCAGAAAGCCACGGCUAACUACGUG